AUUGUGUACCCUCUCCCCGCUUUGUAUCCCUGCCCUGAGGGCCUCACAGCCAGAUCUCCUGAGAGCAGAGUGAAGAGGAAGCUCAGUAUUUCUCAGGCAGGCCAGCAGGUCGGAAGUGAUUGGGGUCUUUGCCACUCCUGCCCCAUUCAUUGGCAGCCUGAUCGGCUCAGACAAAUACUUCCAUGCUCGGGGGAACUAUGAUGCUGCCAAAAGGGGACCUGGGGGUGCCUGGGCUGCAGAAGUGAGCAGCACUGUAUUGGAGGACUCGAAGUCCAACGAGAAAGCUGAGGAAUGGGGCCGGAGUGGCAAAGACCCCGACCGCUUCAGACCUGACGGCCUGCCUAAGAAAUACUGAGCUUCCUGCUCCUCUGCUCUCAGGGAAACUGGGCUGUGAGCCACACACUUCUCCCCCCAGACAGGGACACAGGGUCACUGAGCUUUGUGUCCCCAGGAACUGGUAUAGGGCACCUAGAGGUGUUCAAUAAAUGUUUGUCAAAUUGAAUUUGUUGGUGGAAACUGGGAACAUUGAGGCAGACUUUCUGGGAAGAAUGGUCAUCUGAGGCCAUAUGGAAGAUAAACAGCACCAUGGCAGAUGAGCCUGUGACUGAGGGGGACCAAGGACUCCCAGCUGGCCUGUAACUAUGCAGGCUCCUCACAUGACCCAAGCCAAGCUUCUCUGGUCAUUUUCGGCCCCAGCUUCCCCUCCUGAGUAAGCCUAAGCCGGCAAAGCACUGACCAUCAUCCUGGGCUUCUGAGUGGCUGGAGUCAUGGCUCUGGCACAGCCCUGGGCAGUCUUCCAUCAGUCUCCUCUGUAUCUCAGAUUGGACUUCUACCCCCAAAUUCCCACUUCUUCUUCAGGGCCUCACAGUUUAUUUUGUUGCAGUUUCCAGGCCUCUCUGUAUACAGACUUUGUACUGCCCAAUUCAUUGCAUCCUGUCCACUCUCUGCCUCUAGGCCUUGUCCCCCAGUGAGCUCUUUCCUUAUGGAGAAGGUACAUUGUGGGCUGAGUGUGGUGGCUUAUGCCUGUAAUCCUAGCCUUUUGGGAAGCUGAGGCAGGAGGAUCGCUUGAGCCCAGGAGUUCAAGACCAGCUAGGCAACAUAGUGAAACCUCAUCUUUACUAAAAACCAAAAAAAUUAGCCAGACAUGAUGGCAUGUGCCUGUAUUCCCAGCUACUUGGGAGGCUGAGGCUAGAGUACUGCUUGAGCCCAGGAGGUCAAGGCUGUAGUAAGCUAUGAUCACUCCAUUGUACUCCAGCUUGUAUGACAGAGUGAGACCCUGUCUCAAUAAAAACAAGGUACAUUGCUUAGAGAAGCCUAAUCCUAGGAGUUCUAUCCUAGAAACUGCUAUCUUGGACUCUGGUUUCUUUCUUUCUUUCUUUUUU
rnacentral:lncRNA from 1 species